ACGGGGGAUGCAAGCGUUAUCCGGAAUGAUUGGGCGUAAAGAGUCCGUAGGUAGUCAUCCAAGUCUGCUGUUAAAGAGCGAGGCUUAACUUCGUAAAGGCAGUGGAAACUGGAAGACUAGAGUGUAGUAGGGGCAGAGGGAAUUCCUGGUGUAGCGGUGAAAUGCGUAGAGAUCAGGAAGAACACCGGUGGCGAAGGCGCUCUGCUGGGCUAUAACUGACACUGAGGGACGAAAGCUAGGGGAGCGAAUGGGAUUAGAUACCCCAGUAGUCCUAGCGGUAAACGAUGGAAACUAGGUGUGGCCUGUAUCGACCCGGGCCGUGCCGAAGCAAACGCGUUAAGUUUCCCGCCUGGGGAGUACGCACGCAAGUGUG
rnacentral:rRNA from 1 species